UGUCACAUGACGGCUGGGAACGUCUCAAUGUUCGUCCAGACAAGACACCUGCUCUCCUUAUCUGCUCAAACCAGGAUUUCUUUUGAUUUCUUUUUUUUCCUGAGCGUCCGUGAAUAGUGUGGGCAUGCCAUCUCGUAACACUAUCUGCGUGUCAGGAGGGGCCGGGGGUCCCUGCUGGAGUACGGAGGCUAUAAAAGGCUUGUAACCAGGGGACGAGCAACAAACAACCACAAACACCCUGGUUAUUCCUCUCCAGCACCCACCCACCACUUUCUGCCUCCAUUUUUCUCUUCCUCUUCUUCUUCCCUCCUCCCCCUCCUCUUUUCAUCUCGGGCCCUUUUCUGAUGCUGAAUGCAAAUGUGUAGCCCUGCUGCUGGCGGCGAGAGGGGCUGAAUUGUGAUUAAGGAGAAGAAGAAGAAGGAAGAAGGAAGAAGAAGAGGAGGCUCCUUUUUUUCUCUCUUCUUCUUUGUUCUCCCCCCGGGGGGAUGUUUACCAGGAGAGACACGGCGGAUCAGAUAUGAAAGGCAUUCAGGAAUCCAGCAGCUUCCUGCUGGGGUGCAGCCCCGUGUGGGAAUGGCAGCCCGGACAACCCCCCGCCACUAUUGACGGUAUAAACAUCUGCAGACAGAAGCGGGACAGCAGCCCGGAUAACGGAGCCCUUCAUGGGAACCUCCAGCAGCCCGCAGCGGACUCCCGCUCCACCCGGAGCCGCCGCGGACGCCUCCAACCCCGGACACAACAUCCACAGCUCCGGCUCCUCUCCACCCCACACCCCACGGACAACACACGCUCUCCCCGGGAUCUCCUUACCGUUUUUCCGCCUCGGAUUGGCUUGUUUUCGCCUCUUACACCUGGGGCCAUCCGCCAUGAUCUCCUGCUUCAUUGAUAGAGGAGGAAGAAGGAGAAGCCCCCUGAAACGCACGCCACCUAUCUUCACGGGAGGGGAUAAUUGAGGAGAGUCAAACGUGAGCAUCUUCUGGGUUGAAGUUGUUGUUUUUUUUCCUUCUUGCUCUCCUUUCUCUCUCUCUCUCUCCCUCUCCUCCUCCUCUCCGUUCUUUCUUGUUUUCUCGGCUUCGGCAGAAGAAAUGCGGCUCUUUAUUUUUGCAGAAUCAGACGGGAAGCGGCUCGACUCGCGUAAGGAUCUUUUUUUUAUUAUUACAAAUAUGCAUUCUGUGUAUUUUAAUUUAUUUAAAAUGUUUAUUUACGUAUCAGCGCACCUGCGUUGCGUCACCUGGAUGCCAGGUGCGUCCAGGUGCGCCUCCAGGUAUUUUACCACAUGCAGAAAUUCAACCAGAAUCUGUGCAAACUUUAUUGAUUUCUUGACGCAAUUAAUGCGGAGGAAUUUGAGAAACUGUAAAAAGUGGGUGAAAUGUGGAAAUGGAGCGUGUUGGUGCUGGUGUGAGUGAAUAAGGCGCAGAGCGGAGCGGCGCAGAGCGCGGCUCAGAGCGCGGCGCAGGCUCCACCUUUGCGGCGUCCUGAUUGGUUCUGUAAAUAAAGCGUUAUUGUGUCCUGUCCUCCUGCAGCUCGCCACUGUAUGGCUAAUUAAAUCAUCAAUCAAAAGGGGGAACCAAGCAGAUCGACCCUGAAAACCAAAAAAAGAGAGAAUUUAUUCUGAUUUAACUUUUUAAAAUAUUUUACAAUUAAGAGGAAGUGUGUCUCCAAAAGGAGGGAAGCUUCAUUUAGUUUAGUUUAUUGAUUUAUUAAAUGAAUUAAUGAAUUAGUUUAAUGUGUUUCUGCCUUUUUUUCUUUGUCUGUAGGUGUGAGCAGAGGCUCAAAUAAGGGGAGGGGCGACGGGGCAGCAGUGGCCACCUUCUGCCCCCCAACCAGAAAUAAAUAAUAUUUGGAUUUAAAAGAAGAAAAUCAAUUCUGCGACUUUUAUGUAUUUAUUUGAUCUUUUAUAGGAGAGGUGUCACUGAAAUUGACUUCUUUUUUAUUUAUUUUAAAAAAAGCAAAGAUGAGAUGUGACAUUCAUUUAUUUAUUAGUAAUGAUAAUUUAUGCUUUUUUUGUCAUUCAGAGCAAUUAGCAAGCUGCAACAUUUAUUUAUUUACUUGGAUGUAUUUUUUUUUCCUGCUGGGGUUUGAUUUCACCAAACUAAAAAUACCCUGAAUGCAUCAUUUGAAUAUUUGCUCUACAGCAGGAGACUCAGAAGGAUUUGCAUCCUCAGUGUUUUGGGUAAGUUUGGAUUUUAUUUGAAAUUUUCUUCUUUUUCCUUUUUAAAUGUUUUCAUCCAAAACAAAGAGGAUGAAGAGGAGGAGCGUCUGUCCUGGCUGAAUUAUCGUCAUGCGUAAUUUACUGCCAUGGAGCGCGCAUGUAAACCAAGCACACACACACACACACACACACACACACACACACAGAGGCUGGAGUGGCCUCCUCUGUGGGGCCACAUAUUCACCGUGAAAACGGAUUACAGUGGCUGUGUGACCUAUAGGGCACCUUGUGCUUAAUGAAUAUAUGGCUUUAAAUCAGGGGAUUUGUUGACUUUGUUCAUUUUAAUAAAACAUUCACAUUUUGUUUUAUUUCUGCAAAAAAAAGAAAGAUGAUUUCUUGUCUUUUUCCUCUGAAUAAAACCUGAAACCUUAAAAAUGGCUUUUUUUUUACUUGGAUCCUGUAAAUUUCCUCUGCGUGUUUCUGCCUCUCGUGUUUUGUGUUUUUUUCUCCGCAGCGUUGAACCUUCCAGGCAGCGCUGCAGAGAGGCAGCAGGGAUGCUUCGCUGUCUUUUCGGUGGAGUUGCAGCUUCUGUUUGUGAGCUCGUGUUACACAGCUGCUGCUCCGCCACGGAGCGAGUCGGCAGCAGAAACUCAGAACGAGACGCAGCUUCAGGAUUUAAAUGACGAGCCGCGUCGCAGCACCUGCUGCAGACAGCUUGGAUUCGUCAAAUUUCACCCAUUUCUUGCCCCGGUUUGAGUCGGAACCGCUCUGGAUUCGGACCCAGAGAGAGGAUGCCGAUGCAGAGCGAGCCUCGGGGUCUGAGCUCGGUUCUACACGUUGUGCAUCCAGCAGCUCAGCCGCCAGGCGUCCCUGAUUAUUGGCCUAAUUUAGAUCUGAGAGUCACGUGACGACGCAGAGCAUCCAGCCAUGAAUUCAGGCUCCGUCCUGUCAGGAGAAAUCAGACGCUUUUCCCAAACCUGUUGCGAGACGGAGAAGAGGAUUUUGAAUAAAAAAAAUCCUCAGAAAUGUAAAAUAUUUCCACUCACCUGAGGCUGAGCAUCAACGUUUUGUCCAGAUACGUUUUAAUCCUGGAUCAGGAUUUAGACGGGAAAAUGUUUCUGGCUUCCAGAUUCGUUUAAACACACAUGAGCCAACGCUUCGCUCUCCAAUCUGAUCCGGUUCCAAGCAAAACAAUGAUUCAGCUUCUCCAAAUUCACAGAGUGGAGUCUGUGCUUCAGCCCAGAUGGGAUCUGAUCAGUAGGUCAGCUGAGGUCAGGACCUUCUGGGUCAUGACAUCAAGCAAAAAUGUGUCAAAAGUUGCAUUUGAUUCACCUUUUUCUCUUCCUAAAGAGACUUUACAGUAAUUAAGGUCAACAAUAUGAAGAUAUUUCAGGAACAUUUCUGUUUAUUUAGAACAAAACCCUAAAAUAAACAACUCUACAAAAAGUGAAUCAUUUUUGAUUUGCACAAUUACAAAGAAUAAAACUGAAGUAAUAAAUUAUUUCCUCAAUUUUCAGUUUGUAAAUCCUGGAUUUAGUUUUUAUGAAGCAUAAUUAAAACCUUUUAAUUGAUUACACAUUUUCAGAUAAAUGUAAACCUCCUACUUAUGUAUAAUUAUUCAUUUUAAGCAACUUUAUAAGUAAAUACAGAGGAUAAUUUUAUCAUCAUUUACCAAACGACAACUUUGAAUUCCUUCAUUUGCUGCAAACCUUUUCCUAACAUAUUAAUGUCACCAUAAAGUUAGUAAAAUCGAGCUUAAGCAACAAACAGUGAACUAUAAAACCAAUAAAAACCGAAUAUUACAGGAAAUUAUCUCAACCGAAUGCUGCAAAUUCCUCAUUUUAAUUCUACAGUCAAUAAAUUUUGAUUAUAUUCCAGAAUAUAAAGUCAGAGAAAGCAGUACGUUUUAUCACUUUACAUGAAGUGAAUUAAACUUAUCGACUUUUACGUGAAUCUAAAUUAUGGAGCCAAAAUGGAAACGUAAAAAUUGAGAAAACAUUCCUGCAGCUUUACGCUUAAAUUAUACAGGAAGUUGUAUAAUUUACUGAAAACCACUUAAAGGUGAGUGAAUUUGUGGUUUAAUCUACAAGAAGUCAGAAUAAUUAUCGAUAAAAAUACAGGAAAUUAUUGAACAGUUUCAAAAGAAAACUGAAAACUGCAUGAACUUCACUUUCUCUUUACAGUUCAGUUCUUGUUUAAUCUUUUAAAAUCGAUUAAAAAACAAAAUAAUAGAUUUUCAGAAUCAUUUGUGUAAACUCCUUUUUUUAACUAAUAUUAAAAGAUGUUGAAUUCAACAUGAACAAAGUUAAAGUAAUCAAGUCAAUGUCAAUAAAUCAAUCAAUAUCACCAUGUUUCACGACUAAUUUAAAUUUAUUUAGCACUAAACUGAGAAAAAACUAAAUAUUUAGUUUGAUUUGUUGUUUUGACGCGCCGGUUCUCCUGCUCAGAUUUCUUUAAAAGUUGAUAAUAAAAAUAAAACUUGUAGUUUUUAAGCAAAGAUAAAGUCAAAGCUCAUUUCUAUAGGAACUUUUAAUGCUACAUCAAGAACUUUAAAAGGUAUAAGAUCAAUAAAUCAGCAACAAAAUUAACCAUAAACUAUUUAAAGAUAACUUAUUAAAACAAAUAUAUUAAUUAACUAGUGGUGGGCGGUAUGAACUUGAUGUUUUAUUAUCAUAUUUUGCAGUAGUAUUGAGAACACUGUAAAAAUUAUCAUAAAAAACUAUUUAUUACUGAUUUAUUUGGAUAAGUGUGUGGAUGUUAUUGCCAAUAAACACAAAUAGAAACAUUUCCAGUUGUAAUGUGCUUCUUUAGAUCACAAGUCACAUUAAAAAUGUGAUUUAUGUCACUAAGCUGCACACCGUAACUUAUUUUAAUCAUUUUUUCUAUUUUAUUAAUAUUUAUAGAUAUUCUCAAUAAACAAACUGUGGAGAAAACAGUAAAACUAAUAAUCCAGAGAAUAUGAACAGUUUAAACAUCAUUAAUUAGAAUUCAUCCACUGACAAGGAAUUUAUCACGAUAAAUGAUAAACGAUACGAUAAAUGACCAUUCCUAUAAUUUUUAUAAAUCAUUGAACGACUAGCAGAUAGUUUAAACGUCAUUAAUUUAAAUUUAUUGUGACGAUGAUAAAUCAAAAUUUCUGUCAUGACAAAACUUUAUCGCGAUAAAUGAUAAACGAUAAAUAAUCACCCCUAUAAAUAAUAAUACAAACCAUGGAACCAAUUGUGGAGGAGACGGUAAAACUGUUAACACAGAUAGCUUAAAAGUCAAUAAUUUCAAUUUAUCACAAUGAUAAAUCAAAAUUUCUAUCAUGAAAAGAAAUGUAUCGCGAUAAAUGAUAAACGGUAAAUACCCAAGCCCAUAAUUAACAAUAUAAAACAUUUAAAACAAAAAUCAAAUCAAGUCUGAGUAACAGUUAUUUGAAGAUAUUUGCAAAAAGUCAAAUUAUGAUUUAAUUUGCAAAUCAAAUUCAAAUUAAAAAAGCUCUAAGGGAGAUUAAACGUCGGCCUAUUCCAAUCACAUGUAUUCAGUUCACAUGUAGAACAGCAGACUUUUCAGUUUCUACACGUUAUCGUUUGGUUCUGGGAAUAGGAGAAGUUAUAAGGACCGAAAGUUUUCACGGAGUAAAUACCAAUUAUCACGACUUUUUGUGAUGUAGAAGCCAAACGCUGCCGAUCUGACCGCAGAUAAAACCGGCAGGGAGGGACAGUUUGAAAAUCUACUCCUGCGAUUCAAAGCAGCUGUCAAGCGGCUGCAGCUCAGCCUCUCGAGCGUUAAACCCUCAGCAAACAGUUUGUGUGUUUCAGCCCUGAAAGCAACUUUUUUUUUUUUUUAAUUAAAGUAACGGUUGUUGUUCAGACGGAUCGCAUCUCCUCCUCGCUCUUGUUUGGAACUCCUCGACAUCAAAACUCGGCGUCUCUCGGCGGGGCUCGGCUCUGUGAUGGCCACGCCACAAAAACACCAGAGAAUGACGGACAAUUAAAGAACGAGAGGCGAAGGCUGGACUCUGUGAAAACAUGCAAAAUGAAUCUGGUUUACAUUCGCCACCAGCGAGAGAGAGAGAGAGGGAGGCUCUCUCCUCUGAGCAGUUUUGAUCUCACUCAGUUGGGGAAGAAAGCUCGCCAGGAGAACAAGAACGCUGCAGAAACAAAUGAUCACUGCAAAAAAAUAUUGAUUUUCAUGUUGUUCUUGUUAGCUGAAAACUGAGCUGAGGCUUCUACAAAUGACCACUUAUCCAACCGAGGCUCUUGUAAAACAGACAAACAUACGAUGUUGUUUCUUUCCUGUAAGAUGGUCAGAUGGUUUGUGGUUUCUAAAAGCAUCAGGGUAGGAAACUCGACUGAAUAAAACUCACUUUUUAAAAAUACUUCUUUCAUUGUGAGUACCUCAGAUCCAGAUGUUUGAGUUAUUCUUGUCAUCUCUUGUAGUAUGAUCAAUCAAUAUUCCGAAAAUAACCAUCAAAUUCAAACGCUUGUUUAGUUAUGUGGAGGUUGUAGCUAAUAUCCCAAAAUAAAUGAUUCCUGGUGCAAUCGUU